UACGAGAGGCCCAAACGUUAUUCGGAAUUACUGGGCUUAAAGAGUUCGUAGGCGGCUUGGAAAGUGGGGUGUGAAAGCCCUCGGCUCAACCGAGGAAUUGCGCUCCAAACUCCCAAGCUUGAGGAGGCUAGAGGUGAGCAGAACUGAUGGUGGAGCGGUGAAAUGCGUUGAUAUCAUCAGGAAUACCGGAGGCGAAGGCGGCUCACUGGGACCUUUCUGACGCUGAGGAACGAAAGCUAGGGGAGCGAAC
rnacentral:rRNA from 1 species